rnacentral:rRNA from 1 species
AAUCAACGCUGGCGGCGUGCCUAACACAUGCAAGUCGAACGAGAAAGUGGAGCAAUCCAUGAGUAAAGUGGCGACCGGGUGAGUAACACGUGACUAACCUACCUUCGAGUGGGGGAUAACCUCGGGAAACCGGGGCUAAUACCGCAUAAUGCCUUCGGGUUAAAGGAGCAAUUCGCUUGAAGAGGGGGUCGCGGCUGAUUAGUUAGUUGGCGGGGUAACGGCCCACCAAGACGAUGAUCGGUAGCCGGCCUGAGAGGGCGCACGGCCACACUGGAACUGAAACACGGUCCAGACUCCUACGGGAGGCAGCAGUGGGGAAUUUUGCGCAAUGGGGGAAACCCUGACGCAGCAACGCCGCGUGGAGGAUGAAGUCCCUUGGGACGUAAACUCCUUUCGACCGGGACGAUUAUGACG